UUUUAUAUAGUUUAAAAAACAUUACAUUUUCACUGUAAAAUUAGAUCCUAUCUUAUAAAUA
rnacentral:tRNA from 1 species